CAAUCAGAACUGGUAUCGAUGUGAUGACAGCCAUGUAUUUCAGAUUCCUGACAAGAUGUUUUCAGAAAAAGCCAAUGUAUUUCAGAGGAUUAAAGAGUUGCUUUCUUCUUCAUCUUCAGAUUCAUACUAUUCACACAGCUCUGCCUAUCUACUCUUGUACAAAAAGCGGGAUUGACUGAAUCAGUAAACUGACACAGAGCAGAAUAUCGUCAUUUAGGGUGAUACAUGCUAUAUAAGCAGAAUUGAACCAGGCUCGAAGGCUUCCAGUAAAUGACUGUGAAUGUAUUUGUAAAUCUCUCUGCUCAACAGCUGGUGAUUUGAAACAGGUGCGUCACAAACAUAUAUAAAUGUCGUGCUGUUGCCAGGAUUAAGAAGGACUGGUCUGCGUACUGUAUUUGCUUUGAAGAUAAUUUUCAGUAUGAAUAUUGAUGUCAUUUAUUUUCAUGCAUGUACUGACAUAUUUAAUAGGCAUCGUAUUAAUCAAACUAUAUAAUGAUUAAGUGUUUAUAAGGGAAGUCCCAUUAUCUGCUGAUGCCUAUGUAGAAUUAUUAUCAGUUACACUGCUGUACAAGGAUGUAGUUUGGAAUGAUAUGUAUUCAUGUAAAGGAGUAGUCAUUUUUAUUAUAUCAAAAGUCAGUAUUGUGACCACAUAAGAUGAAAUAUGUCACACAUAUACUGUAUAUUUGUGUGUUACAUAAAAUAACCAGACACCUGAUUGUGGCAAAUACACUGACUGUCAUCUGUGUUUACAUAAGGAAAUAUAAGUCCGUGUUAUACCAAUAUACUACUGAUACCCCGGGGACAUUGUUUUUCUUAAGGGUUUUUUUUUUAUUUUGAUAAAAAAGGGACAAUACAAGAUU